CUACUCUUGACAUCCAGCGAAGCCUUUAGAGAUAGAGGCGUGCCUUCGGGAGCGCUGAGACAGGUGCUGCAUGGCUGUCGUCAGCUCGUGUUGUGAAAUGUUGGGUUAAGUCCCGCAACGAGCGCAACCCUUAUCCUUGUUUGCCAGCACGUAAUGGUGGGAACUCCAGGGAGACUGCCGGUGAUAAACCGGAGGAAGGUGGGGACGACGUCAAGUCAUCAUGGCCCUUACGAGUAGGGCUACACACGUGCUACAAUGGCAGAUACAGAGGGCAGCGAGACAGCGAUGUUUAGCGAAUCCCUUAAAGUUUGUCGUAGUCCGGAUUGGAGUCUGCAACUCGACUCCAUGAAGUCGGAAUCGCUAGUAAUCGUGGAUCAGAAUGCCACGGUGAAUACGUUCCCGGGUCUUGUACACACCGA
rnacentral:rRNA from 1 species